GAUAUAGCUCAGUUGGUACAGUGCUUGUCUCACAUGCACAAGGCCUUGGGUUCAAUCCCCAGAACCA
rnacentral:tRNA from 1 species